GGCCAUAGCUCAGUGGCAGAGCAUCUGUUUUGCAUGGAGAAGGUUCUGUGUUCAAUCCCUGGCAUCUCCA